rnacentral:tRNA from 1 species
GGCCCGCUGGCGCAACGGAUAGCGCAGAGGAUUUCUAGCCUUCAGGUUCCCGGUUCGAGUCCGGGGCGGGCCUCCA